rnacentral:rRNA from 1 species
GAUGAACGCUGGCGGCGUGCCUAAUACAUGCAAGUCGAGCGAACGGACGAGAAGCUUGCUUCUCUGAUGUUAGCGGCGGACGGGUGAGUAACACGUGGAUAACCUACCUAUAAGACUGGGAUAACUUCGGGAAACCGGAGCUAAUACCGGAUGAUAUUUUGAACCGCAUGGUUCAAUAGUGAAAGACGGUCUUGCUGUCACUUAUAGAUGGAUCCGCGCUGCAUUAGCUAGUUGGUAAGGUAACGGCUUACCAAGGCAACGAUGCAUAGCCGACCUGAGAGGGUGAUCGGCCACACUGGAACUGAGACACGGUCCAGACUCCUACGGGAGGCAGCAGUAGGGAAUCUUCCGCAAUGGGCGAAAGCCUGACGGAGCAACGCCGCGUGAGUGAUGAAGGUCUUCGGAUCGUAAAACUCUGUUAUUAGGGAAGAACAUAUGUGUAAGUAACUGUGCACAUCUUGACGGUACCUAAUAAGAAAGCCACGGCUAACUACGUG